rnacentral:rRNA from 1 species
AACGAACGCUGGCGGCAUGCCUAACACAUGCAAGUCGAACGAGACCUUCGGGUCUAGUGGCGCACGGGUGCGUAACGCGUGGGAACCUGCCCUUAGGUUCGGAAUAACUCCCCGAAAGGGGUGCUAAUACCGGAUAAUGUCUUCGGACCAAAGAUUUAUCGCCUUUGGAUGGGCCCGCGUUGGAUUAGCUAGUUGGUAGGGUAAAAGCCUACCAAGGCGACGAUCCAUAGCUGGUCUGAGAGGCUGAUCAGCCACACUGGGACUGAGACACGGCCCAGACUCCUACGGGAGGCAGCAGUGGGGAAUAUUGGACCAUGGGCGGAAGCCUGAUCCAGCAAUGCCGCGUGAGUGAUGAAGGCCUUAGGGUUGUAAAGCUCUUUUACCCGGGAUGAUAAUGACAGUACCGGGAGAAUAAGCUCCGGCUAACUCCGUG